rnacentral:rRNA from 1 species
AUUGAACGCUGGCGGCAGGCCUAACACAUGCAAGUCGAGCGGACGAAGGGAGCUUGCUCCUGGAUUCAGCGGCGGACGGGUGAGUAAUGCCUAGGAAUCUGCCUGGUAGUGGGGGAUAACGUCCGGAAACGGGCGCUAAUACCGCAUACGUCCUGAGGGAGAAAGUGGGGGAUCUUCGGACCUCACGCUAUCAGAUGAGCCUAGGUCGGAUUAGCUAGUUGGUGGGGUAAAGGCCUACCAAGGCGACGAUCCGUAACUGGUCUGAGAGGAUGAUCAGUCACACUGGAACUGAGACACGGUCCAGACUCCUACGGGAGGCAGCAGUGGGGAAUAUUGGGCAAUGGGCGAAAGCCUGAUCCAGCCAUGCCGCGUGUGUGAAGAAGGUCUUCGGAUUGUAAAGCACUUUAAGUUGGGAGGAAGGGCAGUAAGUUAAUACCUUGCUGUUUUGACGUUACCAACAGAAUAAGCACCGGCUAACUUCGUG